rnacentral:rRNA from 1 species
AACGAACGCUGGCGGCAGGCUUAACACAUGCAAGUCGAACGCCCCGCAAGGGGAGUGGCAGACGGGUGAGUAACGCGUGGGAAUCUACCCAUCCCUACGGAACAACUCCGGGAAACUGGAGCUAAUACCGUAUACACCCUACGGGGGAAAGAUUUAUCGGGGAUGGAUGAGCCCGCGUUGGAUUAGCUAGUUGGUGGGGUAAAGGCCUACCAAGGCGACGAUCCAUAGCUGGUCUGAGAGGAUGAUCAGCCACAUUGGGACUGAGACACGGCCCAAACUCCUACGGGAGGCAGCAGUGGGGAAUAUUAGACAAUGGGCGCAAGCCUGAUCCAGCCAUGCCGCGUGAGUGAUGAAGGUCUUAGGAUUGUAAAGCUCUUUCACCCGGGACGAUAAUGACUGUACCGGGAGAAUAAGCCCCGGCUAACUUCGUGCCAGCAGCCGCCGUAA